GACAGAGGUGCCAAGCGUUAGGCGGAAUCACUGGGCUUAAAGCGUGUGUAGGCGGAUCGUUAAGUACCUUGUGAAAUCCCACGGCUCAACCGUGGAACUGCUGGGUAUACUGCGGGUCUUGAGCCACCUAGGGGCGAGCGGAACAAGUGGUGGAGCGGUGAAAUGCGUAGAUAUCACUUGGAACGCCAAUGGUGAAAACAGCUCGCUGGGGGUGUGCUGACGCUGAGACACGAAAGCCAGGGGAGCAAACUGG
rnacentral:rRNA from 1 species